CGUGAGGCGGUCCUUGGGUUGAAGGCGUGGUGACCCUGAGCUAGGUUAACCGGCGAAAGAGAAGCUGGAAGAGACGCCUGUCCCCGACUACGCUGCUCUGAAAAGAAAUGUGUUCUUUCUUCUUUUUUAUCCUUCAUAAUGGACCAAAUAUUGCCUACUUGCCAUAGACAUCUGCUGUCAAUACAUGCUGUAAUUUGACAUUCUGAAUCACAGACAUGACGGCAUUGAAAACGUACUUAUACUUGUAAAAAGAAACCAGACAUCCCUUCAAAGUUUCUACACUACUUCUUAAACUGGACCUUUGUCUGCCGUUUAGGCCGGCAGAGUUACUUGAAUCUUCCGUCCAGGUAACGAGAAUAAUUCUGUGGUUGUAUUUUUCUGUAAUUAACUGAAAGAAUAAUUAAGUCAUAUUCUAGUA